rnacentral:rRNA from 1 species
UACGUAGGGUGCGAGCGUUAAUCGGAAUUACUGGGCGUAAAGCGUGCGAAGGCGGUUAUAUAAGACAGAUGUGAAAUCCCCGGGCUCAACCUGGGCACUGCAUUUGUGACUGUAUAGCUAGAGUAAGGUAGAGGGGGAUGGAAUUCCGCGUGUAGCAGUGAAAUGCGUAGAGAUGAGGAGGAACACCGAUGGCGAAGGCAAUCCCCUGGACCUGUACUGACGCUCAGGCACGAAAGCGUGGGGAGCAAACAGGAUUAGAUACCCAGGUAGUCC